AAAGUUCUCAACCCUCAUGUCAAUGUGAUGGAUUGGACUGUUGGGAUUUGCAGGCUUUUUUAAAAAAGGUCUGCUUUUCUGAAAUGAAUCAGUGGUGUCUGAGCAAUGAGGGGACCACUACAGGUUGUAUUUAUGCCUCCUGUAAAAAUCUCUGUUGCCCAAGCUGCUUUAACAAAAAUUAUCAAUGACA
rnacentral:misc_RNA from 1 species